UACGUAGGGUGCGAGCGUUGUCCGGAAUUACUGGGCGUAAAGGGCUCGUAGGUGGUUUGUCGCGUUGUUCGUGAAAUCUCACGGCUUAACUGUGAGCGUGCGGGCGAUACGGGCAGACUAGAGUACUGCAGGGGAGACUGGAAUUCCUGGUGUAGCGGUGGAAUGCGCAGAUAUCAGGAGGAACACCGGUGGCGAAGGCGGGUCUCUGGGCAGUAACUGACGCUGAGGAGCGAAAGCGUGGGGAGCGAACAGG
rnacentral:rRNA from 1 species